CAGCCGCCGCGGGAAUACGAGGGGGGCAAGCGUUGUUCGGAAUUAUUGGGCGUAAAGGGUGCGUAGGCGGUUUGAUAAGUCUUGUGUGAAAUCUAUGGGCUCAACCCAUAGUCUGCACGGGAAACUGUCGGGCUUGAGAAUGGGAGAGGUGAGUGGAAUUUCCGGUGUAGCGGUGAAAUGCGUAGAUAUCGGAAGGAAUACCUGUGGCGAAAGCGGCUCACUGGACAAUAACUGACGCCGAUGCACGAAAGCUAGGGGAGCAAACAGGAUUAGAUACCCCGGUAGUCCCUGUCUCUUAUAC
rnacentral:rRNA from 1 species